rnacentral:lncRNA from 1 species
AUGAAGUGGAUUGAGGACAAGAUCAAAGAAGAUCGAGAUCAGCUCGGUGGCAUUCUCCACAUUAUUGAAGUAAGGAAGAACAAUGAUCGGGACCUCAUCAAACGUUACAAUGAAUUUGAGAGAAUGGGGGAACUUAGUGACCAACAGCUCUGGUCGGAGGUCGCACUACGCGCCUGGUCGUUUGCUAAAAAGGUAAAGUUCGUACGCAAAAUAUUUAUACCCUGCAUGCUUAUGCAUCUUACAUUAUUUUUUGUUCCGUCGGGUUUCGUCAUCAAGAUAACGAAGUGUGUGUUUGCGGGAGAUUGUGAAGGAAAUUGGUAUUAUAUACUCCCUCCGUUUCUAAAUAUUUGACACCGUUAGC